GCAUAUCAAUAAGCGGAGGAAAAGAAACUAACAAGGAUUCCCCUAGUAACUGCGAGUGAAGCNNNAAAAGCUCAAAUUUAAAAUCUGAGGGUCUUGCGGCCUUCCGAGUUGUAAUCUAGAGAAGUGCUAUCCGCGCUGGACCGUGUACAAGUCUCCUGGAACGGAGCGUCAUAGAGGGUGAGAAUCCCGUCUUUGACACGGACUACCAGGGAUUAUGUGAUGCGCUCUCAAAGAGUCGAGUUGUUUGGGAAUGCAGCUCUAAAUGGGUGG
rnacentral:rRNA from 1 species